UACGGGGGGGGCAAGCGUUGUUCGGAAUUACUGGGCGUAAAGGGUUCGUAGGUGGCUCGCUAAGUCAGACGUGAAAUCCCUCAGCUUAACUGGGGAACUGCGUCUGAGACUGGCGAGCUCGAGUGCAGGAGAGGAACGCGGAAUUCCAGGUGUAGCGGUGAAAUGCGUAGAUAUCUGGAGGAACACCGGUGGCGAAAGCGGCUUCCUGGUCCAGCACCGACGUUCAGGCACGAAAGCGUGGGGAGCAAACAGG
rnacentral:rRNA from 1 species